AGUGAUGGUAGAGGCGCGAAAAUUAUAAGUAGAGAAAACGGAGAGCAAUGAGGCUUUGUGAUGUUUUUUUGAAAGGGAAAUUCGCCGAAGUGUAUAAGAAGCUCAUAUUCUUUUAUGCUGGACUUAUGUUGAAGAAGCAUAAGGCUGUCACUUAACUAACCCAAGGUUAGGUGGAGAACUAUCUCACGU
rnacentral:ncRNA from 2 species